rnacentral:rRNA from 1 species
ACUACGGGAGGCAGCAGUGGGGAAUAUUGCACAAUGGGGGAAACUCUGAUGCAGCGACGCCGCGUGAGUGAAGAAGUAUUUCGGUAUGUAAAGCUCUGUCAGCAGGGAAGUAAAUGACGGUACCUGACCAAGAAGCCCCGUCUAACUACGUGCCAGCAGCCGCGGUAAGACGUAGGCGGCAAGCGUUAUCCGGAUUUACUGGGUGUAAUGGGAGCGUAGACGGCAGGGCAAGUCUGGAGUGAAAGGCGGGGGCUCAACCCCCGGACUGCUCUGGAAACUGCCAGGCUGGAGUGUAGGAGAGGUAAGUGGAAUUCCUAGUGUAGCGGUGAAAUGCGUAGAUAUUAGGAGGAACACCAGUGGCGAAGGCGGCUUACUGAACUGUAACUGACGUUGAGGCUCGAAAGCGUGGGGAGCAAACAGGAUUAGAUACCCGAGUAGUC